rnacentral:hammerhead_ribozyme from 1 species
AUCCGGCUGAUGAGUCAAAAAUAAGACGAAAUGCGCAUCCUGUAU